GACGAACGCUGGCGGCGUGCCUAAUACAUGCAAGUUGAGCGAUGAAGAUUGGUGCUUGCACCAAUUUGAAGAGCAGCGAACGGGUGAGUAGCGCGUGGGGAAUCUGCCUUUGAGCGGGGGACAACAUUUGGAAACGAAUGCUAAUACCGCAUAACAACUUUAAACAUAAGUUUUAAGUUUGAAAGAUGCAAUUGCAUCACUCAAAGAUGAUCCCGCGUUGUAUUAGCUAGUUGGUGAGGUAAAGGCUCACCAAGGCGAUGAUACAUAGCCGACCUGAGAGGGUGAUCGGCCACAUUGGGACUGAGACACGGCCCAAACUCCUACGGGAGGCAGCAGUAGGGAAUCUUCGGCAAUGGACGAAAGUCUGACCGAGCAACGCCGCGUGAGUGAAGAAGGUUUUCGGAUCGUAAAACUCUGUUGGUAGAGAAGAACGUUGGUGAGAGUGGAAAGCUCAUCAAGUGACGGUAACUACCCAGAAAGGGACGGCUAACUACGUG
rnacentral:rRNA from 1 species